rnacentral:misc_RNA from 1 species
AGGCAUCCAUCAUGGCGGUAGAAGAAAUGCCAAAACUGGGGUCUGCAAUUUGAGCAUAAUAGUUCUGCAUUUUCUAGCCACUUUUUCUCGUUAUUUUUUCGAGAUAAGCUUCCAGCAGGCGUACAACCUCCUAUAGGAGAACUUUUAUCUUGGUCAACAAAAGGAGGCUUUCUGACAGUAGACGCGCUGUUAUCGCCACCCUCCGGAGGUUAUCUACCUUUAUUUACAGCUGGAGUUUUGUUUGAGAUUGAGUAUAUCUUGAUGAAGCUGAACAGUAAUGACAAAGACCCGAAGACGGAAGCAGCCAUGACAUCUGUAGCCAC